rnacentral:lncRNA from 1 species
AACAAUCAAACAAUCAACCCAAUUACCCAUCCCCAUUAUCUUCUUUACUCUUAAGGGUUUAACCUAAGAGUCAUCUAUCCUGCAUUCAUUUAUUCCGAAGUCCCUUACUUUCAGGGUUAUAGGACUGGCACUAAAUCCAUAGCUACCAAUGUUCGUUCGUAAAGCACUAAUUCCAUAGCUGCUAUAGUCUACUCAUCGGGUACUAAAUCCAUAGCUACCAGUGUUUAUCUAAUAGGUACUAAGUCCAUAGCUACCAGUGUUUAUCUAAUAGUUACUAAGUCCAUAGUUACCAAUUCCUAACAGGUACUAAAUCCAUAGCUACCGGUGUUUGUCCAAUAGGCACUAAGUUAAUAGUUGCCGAUGUUUAUUAGGCACUAAGUCCAUAGCUGCCAAU